rnacentral:rRNA from 1 species
CUACGGGAGGCAGCAGUAAGGAAUAUUGGUCAAUGGACGAAAGUCUGAACCAGCUAUGCCGCGUGGAGGAUGAAGGCCCUCUGGGUUGUAAACUUCUUUUAUAUGGGACGAAAAAGGGUCUUUCUAGAUCAACUGACGGUACCAUGUGAAUAAGCACCGGCUAACUCCGUGCCAGCAGCCGCGGUAAUACGGAGGGUGCAAGCGUUAUCCGGAUUCACUGGGUUUAAAGGGUGCGUAGGUGGGUCUGUAAGUCCGUGGUGAAAUCUCCGAGCUUAACUUGGAAACUGCCAUGGAUACUAUAGGUCUUGAAUACUGUGGAGGUUAGCGGAAUAUGUCAUGUAGCGGUGAAAUGCUUAGAUAUGACAUAGAACACCAAUUGCGAAGGCAGCUGGCUACACAAAUAUUGACACUGAGGCACGAAAGCGUGGGGAUCAAACAGGAUUAGAUACCCUUGUAGUCC